rnacentral:rRNA from 1 species
GAUGAACGCUGGCGGCGUGCCUAAUACAUGCGAGUCGAGCGAACGGACGAGAAGCUUGCUUCUCUGAUGUUAGCGGCGGACGGGUGAGUAACACGUGGAUAACCUACCUAUAAGACUGGGAUAACUUCGGGAAACCGGAGCUAAUACCGGAUAAUAUUUUGAACCGCAUGGUUCAAAAGUGAAAGACGGUCUUGCUGUCACUUAUAGAUGGAUCCGCGCUGCAUUAGCUAGUUGGUAAGGUAACGGCUUACCAAGGCAACGAUGCAUAGCCGACCUGAGAGGGUAAUCGGCCACACUGGAACUGAGACACGGUCCAGACUACUACGGGAGGCAGCAGUAGGGAAUCUUCCGAAAUGGGCGAAAGACUGACGGAGCAACGCCGCGUGAGUGAUGAAGGUCUUCGGAUCGUAAAACUCUGUUAUUAGGGAAGAACAUAUGUGCAAGUAACUGUGAACAUCUUGACGGUACCUAAUCAGAAAGCCACGGCUAACUACGUG